rnacentral:rRNA from 1 species
CUGCAGCUCAAGUGGUGGCCGCUAUUAUUGGGCCUAAAACGUCCGUAGCCGGUUUAGUAAAUGCCUGGGUAAAUUGUGUAGCUUAACUAUACGAAUACCGGGUAGACUGCUAAACUUGGGUCCGGGAGAGGCUAGAGGUACUCCUAGGGUAGAGGUGAAAUUCUGUAAUCCUAGGGGGACCACCAGUGGCGAAGGCGUCUAGCUAGAACGGGUUUGACGGUGAGGGACGAAGCCCUGGGGCGCGAACCGGAUUAGAUACCCGAGUAGUCC